UACCCGCUGAACUUAAGCAUAUCAAUAAGCGGAGGAAAAGAAACCAACCGGGAUUACCUCAGUAACGGCGAGUGAAGCGGUAACAGCUCAAAUUUGAAAUCUGGCUCUUCCGGAGUCCGAGUUGUAAUUUGUAGAAGAUGCUUUGGGAGGUAGGGCCGGCCUAAGUUCCUUGGAACAGGACAUCAGAGAGGGUGAGAAUCCCGUAUGUGGCCGUGGCCUACGCCCGUGUAAAGCUCUUUCGACGAGUCGAGUUGUUUGGGAAUGCAGCUCAAAAUGGGUGGUAAAUUUCAUCUAAAGCUAAAUAUUGGCCAGAGACCGAUAGCGCACAAGUAGAGUGAUCGAAAGAUGAAAAGCACUUUGGAAAGAGAGUUAAACAGUACGUGAAAUUGUUGAAAGGGAAGCGCUUGCAACCAGACUUGGGCGUCGUCGAUCAUCCGGGGUUCUCCUCGGUGCACUCGACGAGGCACAGGCCAGCAUCGGUUUGGAUGGUUGGAGAAAGGCCCUAGGAACGUAGCUCUCUUCGGGGAGUGUUAUAGCCUAGAGCGCAAUGCAGCCCAUCCGGACCGAGGACCGCGCCUUUGGCUAGGAUGCUGGCGUAAUGGUUGCAAGCGACCCGUCUUGAAACACGGACCAAGGA
rnacentral:rRNA from 1 species